GGGGCUGAUCGGUUUCGACGCCGGUGACAGUAGCCGUUUUGUGCGACCAGAGUUGCUCAGACUCUUUAAACGGGGCUUAAAAAGAGACUCCAACACGGAUGAUCUCGCUCUCGCAGCCUGACCUAGUCAAGUUGUAGAGAGUCAUCGCGACCGGUAACGGCACGCGGGGCCGAUCCACCGCAGCCUGGCAACAGAAGCGGAGGAGACCGCAGGGAUAGACCGCUGACGGCGCGAAAGAACGCUGACUUCAGGGAAAGACCUUUAGGCGAGCUUUGUGCUAACUGAUCCGGCAGUGUGACAGCCUAAAGACACAACCACGGGAAUGGUCGUAUCGCAAGCGGUUGCACUCCGACGGACGGGGGUUCGAUUCCCCCCAGCUCCACUG
rfam:Marine actinobacterium MedAcidi-G1 MedDCM-JTLCOM-C72, whole genome shotgun sequence.